rnacentral:rRNA from 1 species
GAUGAACGCUGGCGGCGUGCCUAAUACAUGCAAGUCGAGCGAAGCGGGGACGGGUGAGUAACACGUGGAUAACCUCCUAUAAGACUGGGAUAACAUAGGGAAACCGGAGCUAAACCGCAUAUUUAUAGAUGGAUCCGAGCUGCAUUAGCUAGUUGGUAAGGUAACGGCUUAACAAGGCAACGAUGCAUAGCCGACCUGAGAGGAUGAUCGGCCACUCGGGACCUGAGAAACGGCCCAGACUCCUACGGGAGGCAGCAGUGGGGAAUCUUCCGCAAUGGGCGAAAGCCGGACGGAGCAACGCCGCGUGAGUGAUGAAGGUCUUCGGAUCGUAAAACUCUGUUAUCAGGGAAGCGGUACCUAAACAGAAAGCCACGGCUAACUACGUGCCAGCAGCCGCGGUAAUUC